rnacentral:rRNA from 1 species
GAGACAGGGUACCCAGGCAAAAACAGUCCAGCCAAGUAAGAAUAGCUACUGUUUAUUCUAUUCAAAGAGGUGCCCCAUUAGAAGAGCUUGGUAUCCAGCUGCUUAAGUUAGGUACAGAACGCAGCAGCAGCAAGAGAGAGGAGGCAGAGCGGUAUGGAGGGUGCGCCUAAACGCACUAGAGGACCGUACCAUGACGGAGACCCGCCAAAGGGCGCCGUCCCUCCGCGCUGUGGAGCGCGACGGGUACAAGGAGAGAGCGAGAGUGGUAUUGCAGUGGCCGGGGGAGAGGGGAGGAAGGUGGGUCGCCGACGAGAAGAGGAGGAGUACCGACGGAGUGGACGCAACGGAGUGGAGAGCGCCACGGAGGAACCGAGUAGGCGACCCGCUGGAGGUAUUGGGAGAGCUGGGAGGAAGGGACGGGGGAACCGCACGUACUACCUGUGCUGACGAUCGCCUUCCGACGAGUCGGACGUAUACCGCGGGGGUUAGCAGGUGCACGAAGGGGAUCGCCUGGUGUAGUCGGUCGCAGUGCAUCUCCUGACCUCCUUUCCAGUAUGACCAAAACUCAAGAGAGGACACUUUACAGAAUCAACCUAGUUCUACCAAAAUCUGAAAAUCCUCCUUAAGUAUCCAUCCAAAUACAAAACCUACAUUUCCAUGUACAUAUACGAUAUACUAACAUCACUCGAACGACAAAACAAACCCUCAACUAACCAAGUGAGAAAAGGAAAGUACGUACACUAAGGAUACAAUAUCCGAACCCACGAGACAAAAAAUCUACCAAUCUACUUCCCCAAGGGAGAGGACCGCAACAAACCUACUCUUUCUCUAGAAAUAAACGUAAUAGUCCUCAGUAACUCGUUCUACUAAGUGUUCUUGCAUAUGAAACCCGACAGACAUUGUUCUUUGGUUCUUCUUUUCCGACUUCGAUCUACAAGGACAAACUCAAUAAACGUUAUAUACAUCUGUUGUCAAAGGUAGUCCUUGCCUAUAAAAACAUUACUCUAGUGACCCAAUGGGGAAAUAGUACAAAACGUAAUACAUGACUGUUUUAUAAGAAUGUACCCCAAACCGUAGUAGAUGACCGGAAUCAAAUCACAAUAA